rnacentral:rRNA from 1 species
GAAGUACAACGAGUCGCAAACCGGCGACGGUAAGCUAAUCUCUUAAAACUUCUCUCAGUUCGGACUGGAGUCUGCAACUCGACUCCACGAAGGCGGAAUCGCUAGUAAUCGCGAAUCAGCAUGUCGCGGUGAAUACGUUCCCGGGUCUUGUACACACCGCCCGUCAAAUCAUGGGAGUCGGAAGUACCCAAAGUCGCUUGGCUAACUUUUAGAGGCCGGUGCCUAAGGUAAAAUCGAUGACUGGGAUUAAGUCGUAACAAGGUAGCCGUAGGAGAACCUGCGGCUGGAUCACCUCCUUUCUAAGGA